CAAGACUCACACAACCUCCCUGAACAACCAAUACGCACAAAUGGAUGUGUACACAUUUACGGGUGUUCUACUUGUGUGCCGUUUUAUUGUGUUUGUUCGCCACCGUGGUCAACAAACUGUUAUUUGCGUGUCCCAGGCCCGGCUUCCUGGGCUGCGGUGAGGCGGUGCAGGCAGACAGACGUCAAGAGGGUAGGUGGGCACAGGCUUAGAACAAGGUAAAUACCACGUCCCUUUUCUAUAUACAAAGAACACAGUGGGCAGGCCCAGUGGCCGUUAAGGUUCCAAACGCUGUCAUGGUACAGACACAGGAUUCAUUGUGGUGAGACUGCUAGCCUACUGAACAGGAUGAUGCUGUGGUGAGACUGCUAGCCUACUGAACAGGAUGAUGCUCAUUCACACCUCCAUGGAUGAUUGCAAAGAACAGUACGUGAGAUAGUCAAAGCUAAGUUGACUACGUCAGUUUAUUAAAUGUAUAGUAAUCUAUCCCUGUUCCCUGUUUAGUGCAAAAAUAGGGCUGUGUUAUCUAAACAAACAGUUUAUGCUGAAAGACUUUUAAUGGAAAUGUACUCUUAUUUACUUGUUUUUAAAACUGAACCUGUAGCCUGGUCCACCAGAGAAGCCUUGUACCUAAGGAAGUGGUAGAGUGACUCACUACCAUUUCCAAAACAAGACACGGAUUCCCUUUAGUGACACAAACUAUGUGUGAGUCAGCGAACCCGUUCCCCAUAACGGUAGGCCUAUAGCAACAAAAACGUACAACAAAAACAAAAAAGAAAGUUAUAAUCCUUUUUGACCCCAUCACCAUACAAACACACAACAAACAAAUCAGUAGCAUAACAAAACAUUUUAAUAAAUGUAGCUAGUUACUUCGGUAAUCUAAAAGGAUGCAAAACAAAAAUACUAUAUAUUACAAAUACAUUACACAAUAUACAUGUUUAAACAAGCAACAUCAUAGAGUAAGAACAUAGGGUGACACAGAGCUGGAACUGGACAGUCUUUUGGUCGUUGGUGCUGGCGAGAAUGACAUGUUAUCCAGUCAAGUCACAGCCAAAUCAGCAGCAGGACUUGCCUUGGAGCUUGAUCUAAAUAACACAAAACCCUACAGAUUUAAUGUUGGACGUCAAAGACUGACCAC
rnacentral:lncRNA from 1 species